GGUCCGCUGGCGUAAUGGCAGCGCGUCUGACUACGAUGAUAUAGUAAAUCAGGAGGUUCCAGGUUCGACCCCUGGGCGGAUCG